rnacentral:lncRNA from 1 species
GUGUUGUAAAAUUUUGAACUAUCUGUAAACAGGAAGUGGCUGCAUGGCAGAUCUUAAAAUUGCUUACAUUCUACAAUUCAGCAUUAGGCCAAAUAAAAAAGUAUGUGUGGUUCCAGUUACAUCUGAAAAAAAGUUAGGGUAGGUAGGUAGGGAUUUUUUUUUAUUUUAUGUUUUUUUUUUUUACAUUGAGUCUAUGGGAGCAACAUUUUGACUUUAACAGUGCUUAAUGAAAAAUGACAAUAAAAUCUUUAGGGUAGGCUAUUUUUAAGCCGAAAAAGUAGGGACGGUAGGGUUACUGGAACCACACGUAUAUUUUUAUUUGGCCUUAUCAAGCUGCAGACAUACCAAACAUAUAAUUACUUCAUUGCAGAGAAGUCAGGUUGGACUAAUUUUCUACCUUAG